rnacentral:lncRNA from 1 species
CUUCUUCACAUUUUAACAUGGAAAACAUUUCAAGGUCUUUUGUGGAGAUGUUUGGAGAGGGAGGGUCCUUGUGGUCAGUAGAGAAAGUAUUAGUCUGGGAAUGAUCAGAUCCGAGUUUUAGUUCCAGUACCUUGACAGCUAACUAAUAUAAAGGCCAUCAUAUGUUUAAACACAGGAUUUGAAGUCCUGAUAUAUGUCCUCUUGGGGCUUUUGAAAUUACUUCUGAAAGGUCAUUGAACCCAUGGUUUGAUUGCCAUUUAUAAUGGUAUAAUUCUCUUAAAUAUAAAAAUAAAAAGGAGGGCUUUGGUAUAAAGGCCUAGAUAACCCCCUCAAAGUAAGUGAUGGGAUGGGAUUUUUCAGUCUUUAGUUUAAUUUUUUUAAUGUUUACUUUAGAGAGAGAGAGACACAGAGCACAAGUGGAGGAGGGGCAGAGAGAAAGAGGGAGACACAGCAACUGAGGCAGGCUCCAGGCUCUGAGCUGUCAGCACAGAGCCCAGUGCGGGGCUCAAACUCACGAACCACGAGAUCAUGACCUGAGCCAAAGUCGGACGCUCAACCUACUGAGCCACUGAGACGACUCAGUCUUUACGGUUUAAUAGCAAGGAAUUGUCUCAGGACCAGAGAGACCUUGAUUGGAUGUGGCCAGAAAUGGGUGCAAUGACAGUGACUCUUUCUGGACCUUCGCUUCAUGGCUGCUUAGGUUCUUUAGCAAACAGCAAAGGAGAAUAAUGCAGCAGCAAGUAUGCCUGCAGUCUGCGAUUGGAGAGUGGAUAAGAAAUUAGAUGUCCUCCAGAUUCCAAAAUCUGGAGACCAUCCAGGCUCAAGGGCAGCUGGAGGAGCUGGCAUGAAUUCUUCCUUAUGGGCCAUCCCUAUGGGGGCUAACCAAAGCCCAUCACCCAUGUUACUUUCUUCAUCAAUGGAAGAACAACUCUGUGGACUACACUGUGCCAGAUCAUUCCCGCGGAGUUGGAGAGUGCAUGCCCCACACUGAAUCGAUGAGGCCGGCUUCCGUGGUGCACAUGGAACAAGUUACCCGGGAUGGUAAACUCAACAUGUUGACUAGGCCUUCGCAGCAGUGUUAACCAUCUGGACUGUGAAAGAAUUGGUCCGAUUUGAGGUAAGAAGCACAGACUCUGUGAUGUGGUCUGGCCUCCCAUGGCACUCACGGUCCUCACUGCCUCUGAACUGGUUUCUGGAAAAACAGCCGAAGCUCA